rnacentral:rRNA from 1 species
GACGAACGCUGGCGGCGUGCUUAACACAUGCAAGUCGAACGGAAAGGCCCCUUUGGGGGUACUCGAGUGGCGAACGGGUGAGUAACACGUGAGUAACCUGCCCUUGACUUCGGGAUAACUUCAGGAAACUGGGGCUAAUACCGGAUAGGAAUCCUUGCUGCAUGGUGGGGGUUGGAAAGCUUCGGCGGUUUUGGGUGGAGUCGCGGCCUAUCAGCUUGUUGGUGGGGUAGUGGCUUACCAAGGCUUUGACGGGUAGCCGGACUGAGAGGGCGACCGGCCACAGUGGGACUGAGAGACGGCCCAGACACCUACGGGAGGCAGCAGGGGGGAAUAUUGCACAAUGGGCGGAAGCCUGAUGCAGCAACGCCGCGGGCGGGAUGACGGCCUUCGGGUUGUAAACCGCUUUCAGCAGGGGCGAAGCUUGUGGUGACGGUACCUGCAGAAGAAGCACCGGCUAACUACGUG